rnacentral:rRNA from 1 species
AACGCUAGCUACAGGCUUAACACAUGCAAGUCGAGGGGCAGCAUGGUCUUAGCUUGCUAAGGCCGAUGGCGACCGGCGCACGGGUGAGUAACACGUAUCCAACCUGCCGUCUACUCUUGGACAGCCUUCUGAAAGGAAGAUUAAUACAAGAUGGCAUCAUGAGUCCGCAUGUUCACAUGAUUAAAGGUAUUCCGGUAGACGAUGGGGAUGCGUUCCAUUAGAUAGUAGGCGGGGUAACGGCCCACCUAGUCUUCGAUGGAUAGGGGUUCUGAGAGGAAGGUCCCCCACAUUGGAACUGAGACACGGUCCAAACUCCUACGGGAGGCAGCAGUGAGGAAUAUUGGUCAAUGGGCGAGAGCCUGAACCAGCCAAGUAGCGUGAAGGAUGACUGCCCUAUGGGUUGUAAACUUCUUUUAUAAAGGAAUAAAGUCGGGUAUGGAUACCCGUUUGCAUGUACUUUAUGAAUAAGGAUCGGCUAACUCCGUGCCAGCAGCCGCGGUAAUACGGAGGAUCCGAGCGUUAUCCGGAUUUAUUGGGUUUAAAGGGAGCGUAGAUGGAUGUUUAAGUCAGUUGUGAAAGUUUGCGGCUCAACCGUAAAAUUGCAGUUGAUACUGGAUAUCUUGAGUGCAGUUGAGGCAGGCGGAAUUCGUGGUGUAGCGGUGAAAUGCUUAGAUAUCACGAAGAACUCCGAUUGCGAAGGCAGCCUGCUAAGCUGCAACUGACAUUGAGGCUCGAAAGUGUGGGUAUCAAACAGGAUUAGAUACCCUGGUAGUCCACACGGUAAACGAUGAAUACUCGCUGUUUGCGAUAUACUGCAAGCGGCCAAGCGAAAGCGUUAAGUAUUCCACCUGGGGAGUACGCCGGCAACGGUGAAACUCAAAGGAAUUGACGGGGGCCCGCACAAGCGGAGGAACAUGUGGUUUAAUUCGAUGAUACGCGAGGAACCUUACCCGGGCUUAAAUUGCAGAUGAAUUACGGUGAAAGCCGUAAGCCGCAAGGCAUCUGUGAAGGUGCUGCAUGGUUGUCGUCAGCUCGUGCCGUGAGGUGUCGGCUUAAGUGCCAUAACGAGCGCAACCCUUGUUGUCAGUUACUAACAGGUUCCGCUGAGGACUCUGACAAGACUGCCAUCGUAAGAUGUGAGGAAGGUGGGGAUGACGUCAAAUCAGCACGGCCCUUACGUCCGGGGCUACACACGUGUUACAAUGGGGGGUACAGAGGGCCGCUACCACGCGAGUGGAUGCCAAUCCCCAAAACCUCUCUCAGUUCGGACUGGAGUCUGCAACCCGACUCUACGAAGCUGGAUUCGCUAGUAAUCGCGCAUCAGCCACGGCGCGGUGAAUACGUUCCCGGGCCUUGUACACACCGCCCGUCAAGCCAUGGGAGCCGGGGGUACCUGAAGUGCGUAACCGCGAGGAGCGCCCUAGGGUAAAACUGGUGACUGGGGCUAA